ACCCGAGGCGGACAGCUGUCGCGUGCGGCGGCGCCUACAACGGAGUCGCCGUGCCAGAUUUCUGAAAUUGGUCGAGUGGGCCAUGAGACUAAUUUUGGAUUUAUUUCAGAACAUUUGUAGAUACUAUAAGCACGUUUUAGUUUUUUAAAAAAAAAUUCAGGGAACUUAGGGACUGCCCGUAGGCGUAGUAAACCGUUUAGCUUUUUUGGCAUCAAAUCGAGUAAAGAUCCCUCACCCUAUUCUCUAUCAUAGAGUUGAAGUCUAAAUAAAUAAUAAAAUGGUAUUUGUGUAAAUUAAAUGAAUGUGCAUAAUUAAUUAUUGAUUGCUAAUCAAGCUC
rnacentral:lncRNA from 1 species